rnacentral:rRNA from 1 species
UACAGAGGUCUCAAGCGUUGUUCGGAUUCAUUGGGCGUAAAGGGUGUGUAGGUGGCGCCGUAAGUCGGGGUGUGAAAUUUCGGAGCUUAACUCCGAAACUGCAUUCGAUACUGCGGUGCUUGAGGACUGGAGAGGAGACUGGAAUUCAUGGUGUAGCAGUGAAAUGCGUAGAGAUCAUGAGGAAGACCAGUGGCGAAGGCGGGUCUCUGGACAGUUCCUGACACUGAGACACGAAGGCCAGGGGGAGCAAAACGGGG